UACGUAGGGUGCGAGCGUUAAUCGGAAUUACUGGGCGUAAAGCGUGCGCAGGCGGUUUUGUAAGCCAGAUGUGAAAUCCCCGGGCUCAACCUGGGAAUGGCAUUGGUGACUGUACGGCUAGAGUGUGUCAGAGGGGGGUAGAAUUCCACGUGUAGCAGUGAAAUGCGUAGAGAUGUGGAGGAAUACCGAUGGCGAAGGCAGCCCCCCUGGGAUAACACUGACGCUCAUGCACGAAAGCGUGGGGAGCAAACAGG
rnacentral:rRNA from 1 species